GCCUCGGCCAGAAACCGUCCGGCUCGCCACUCGGCUGGCCUCCGGGGAAUGGGCCACCAGGAGCCCCCGCUGGCCCGGGCGCCCGCCGGAGGUGGGGCUUCUAGAAAGAGGUUAUGUAAAGGGCUCAGCUGGCGCGAGCACGUGCAGAGCCGCGGGAGCCCGGACGCCGGGUUCUCCCCCGCGCGCGCCGCUGCCCUCUCCGGGGCGGCACCGGGUUCCGGGGCAGCACCGGGUUCCGGCGCACGCCCGGCGCGGGCCACCGGCUCUCGCGUGGCUCGGUACCGAAGGCAGCCCCGGCCGGGAGCGGACCAUCCCCAGCCCGAGACUCCUGGGGGGAAACCGGCCGUCCGGAAGUGGAGGGGCUCCGGCCAGGUCCCAACCCAAGCACCCGCUCCUCCGCGUCCCGGGGCCGGACGGAGGGAUGAGGCAGGGGGGGCCCGGGCAGCGCCGUUGCUGCUCCCCCCGCCGCCCGCAGCCAUGGAAACGGGGAAGGCGGACGGCGCCCGCCGAGGUACACAAAGCCCCGAGAGGAAAAGGCGAAGCCCAGUGCCGCGGGCGCCCAGCGCGAAGCUGAGGCCAGUGGCUGCGGCCCAGGCCAUGGAUCCGGUGGCGGCCGCAACCCCCGGCGAGGCCUACCUGGCUCGGCGGCGGCCGGAGGGUGGCGGCGGGUCCGCGCAGCCGCGCUACAGCCUGUUGGCCGAGAUCGGGCGCGGCAGCUACGGCGUGGUUUACGAGGCAGUGGCCGGGCGCAGCGGGGCCCGGGUGGCGGUCAAGAAGAUCCGCUGCGACGCCCCGGAAAACGUGGAGCUGGCGCUGGCCGAGUUCUGGGCCCUGACCAGUCUCAAGCGGCGCCACCAGAACGUGGUGCAGUUUGAGGAGUGUGUCCUGCAGCGCAACGGCCUAGCCCAGCGCAUGAGCCACGGCAACAAGAACUCGCAGCUUUACCUGCGCCUGGUGGAGACCUCGCUCAAAGGAGAAAGGAUCCUGGGUUAUGCUGAGGAGCCCUGUUAUCUCUGGUUUGUCAUGGAGUUCUGUGAAGGUGGAGACCUGAAUCAGUACGUCCUGUCCCGGAGGCCGGACCCAGCCACCAACAAAAGCUUCAUGCUACAGCUCACAAGCGCCAUUGCCUUCCUGCACAAAAACCACAUCGUGCACAGGGACCUAAAGCCAGACAACAUCCUUAUCACGGAGAGGUCUGGCACCCCCAUCCUCAAGGUGGCAGACUUUGGACUAAGCAAGGUCUGUGCUGGGCUAGCCCCCCGAGGCAAAGAGGGUAAUCAAAACAACAAAAAUGUGAAUGUGAAUAAAUACUGGCUGUCCUCAGCCUGCGGCUCAGACUUCUACAUGGCCCCUGAAGUCUGGGAGGGACACUACACAGCCAAGGCUGACAUCUUUGCCCUGGGCAUUAUCAUCUGGGCAAUGAUAGAAAGAAUCACUUUCAUUGACUCUGAGACCAAGAAGGAGCUCCUGGGGACCUAUAUCAAACAGGGGACCGAGAUCGUCCCUGUUGGUGAGGCGCUGCUAGAAAAUCCAAAGAUGGAGUUGCACAUCCCCCAGAAACGCAGGACUUCCAUGUCUGAGGGGAUCAAGCAGCUCUUGAAAGAUAUGUUAGCUGCUAACCCACAGGACCGGCCUGAUGCCUUUGAACUUGAAACCAGAAUGGACCAGGUCACAUGUGCUGCUUAAAAUUCAGGGCAAAGCAUCUUGGUUGUUUUUAAACUAGGUUGAUCCCCGGGACCCACAGUCUCAUCAAGUCCCACAGAGGACGGCAGAGGGUACAGGUGCCCGGCCAGCGGCGAUCCCCGACAGCUGGAGCUCCAGCAAUGUGAAGCUUUGUUUGCAUUUUCUCCCUUCAGUUUUGCUUAAAUAUUUUUGUCUUUUUUUUUUUUUUUUUUUUUUUUAAUUUAAACAAUUUAAGACUUCAAAAGAGCAGAAGCUCUGCUUUGGACAGGCACCAGUUUCUUUAAAGAAAUUUAAUAUGGACAAAGCAUUUGUGUAAAUUUCAUCUUUACUUUUUAUAAGGGGUUAGGGCACUAUUUCGUUUUUGUCCUUGCUUUUCCCUGUCUUUCUUUUACCCAUUUCUCAGUUCUGCUUAUAACGCCUCACUUCCCCCAGAGAAGGCCCCUCUCCAUGGUGAUGGGGGCAUUUCUCCUGGAACGGAAUGGAAAUAGGAGGAGGCCCCUGGGCCACCUUCCCACCAGGUGCAGGAACUGCCAACUCCGACCCCGAGCUGCUCCCAGCCAGCUCUUGGCCUUGGGUCAAGAUCCGCCUGGAGGAGGAAGACCAGCGUUUGCCCAGGAGAACUCAAGAAAGCAGCUCUCAUCCGGGUGUGUUCUCUUUAAGAUGUGGAAGCCCCCGGCCACUCCAGGACUUCUUACAGUGAAGCUGGUAAUCUAGGACCUACGUGUGAACAACUUUAUAUGAGUAUUUUUUGUACUUGGUUUACUUGGGUUGGUAUGAUACAUUAUAUUUAAGUUCCUUGAACACUGUGGAGCCCCUAAUGUGUAUGAAUGACUGAGGCUUUGUAAAUUAAGGGACGUUUGUGUGAAUAAAGUUAUUUGAUGGGGUCAAAGAAGCCA